rnacentral:lncRNA from 1 species
AGCCAGCUGGAGGUGCAGAAGUGAUGGAAAACUCUCACAGUGAGAAGAACAUGAACUCACAGCCACCGAGGCCUGACGGGUUCCUGCAGUGAGAGCUCAGCGCUUGUCUGCAGAGAGAGAGAGGGGAGACGUGGGAAUGGGAAAACCAGAAACUCCCACAGACACUGAAAGAUUUGAUCUGCAGCCUCGGGAGAAGCUGGGAUUGAUGUACCAAUACAAGACACGGGCAUUACGCAGGAAAAGAAUAAAA